rnacentral:rRNA from 1 species
CGGUUAUACUAAGAGAUUAAGUUAUAUUUAUUAAGGUAAAAAGGUAGUUAAAUAAUUAAUUAGCUAUAUUAUUUUUUAUAGAAGGGUAAAAUCUAAUUAUAAAAAAAUAGAUCUGAGAUGGCUAUAAAAUUGACUCUACGAUAGCUUUGAGGGAAACUGGGAUUAGAUACCCCAUUAUUCAUAGCUGUAAAUCAAUUAUUUUUACCUGAGUACUAUGAAUUAAAUAAAUUUAAAACUCAAAGGGCUUGGCGGUGUUUUAGACUUCUCAGGGGAACCUGUCUCAUAAUCGACAGUCCACGCUAAACCUAACCUUUUUUUGUUAUUCAGUUUGUAUACCGUUGUCGUCAGGUAACUUUUAAGAAUUUUAGAAGUUAGCAAUAUAAAUUAAUUAAUUAUUACGUCAAAUCAAGGUGCAGCUUAUAAAUAGGUGAAGAUGGGUUACAAUUAUAAAUUCAUAACUAUGGACGUAGCGGUGGAAUUAUUAUCUACCGAAGGAGGACUUGAAAGUAAAAUAAGUUGUAUAUAAAUAAUUUGAAUAAAGCUCUGAAACAUGUACAANCC